rnacentral:rRNA from 1 species
GAUGAACGCUGGCGGCGUGCCUAAUACAUGCAAGUCGAGCGAACGGACGAGGAGCUUGCUCCUCUGACGUUAGCGGCGGACGGGUGAGUAACACGUGGAUAACCUACCUAUAAGACUGGGAUAACUUCGGGAAACCGGAGCUAAUACCGGAUAAUAUAUUGAACCGCAUGGUUCAAUAGUGAAAGACGGUUUUGCUGUCACUUAUAGAUGGAUCCGCGCUGCAUUAGCUAGUUGGUAAGGUAACGGCUUACCAAGGCAACGAUGCGUAGCCGACCUGAGAGGGUGAUCGGCCACACUGGAACUGAGACACGGUCCAGACUCCUACGGGAGGCAGCAGUAGGGAAUCUUCCGCAAUGGGCGAAAGCCUGACGGAGCAACGCCGCGUGAGUGAUGAAGGUCUUCGGAUCGUAAAACUCUGUUAUUAGGGAAGAACAAAUGUGUAAGUAACUGUGCACAUCUUGACGGUACCUAAUCAGAAAGCCACGGCUAACUACGUG